rnacentral:tRNA from 1 species
GCGCCUUUAGCUCAGCUAGGCAGAGCAGCUGACUCUUAAUCAGCGGGUCGAAGGUUCGAUUCCUUCAAGGCGCA